ACAUACGACCAUAGGACACUGAAAGCAAGGCUUCCCGUUCGCUCAGCCCUAUUUAAGCAGUGUACCGGCGGACUAGUAGUACGGUGGGUGACCACGCGCGAAUCCCUGCUGUUGUAUGUU
rfam:Pyrenochaeta sp. DS3sAY3a unplaced genomic scaffold IQ07scaffold_33, whole genome shotgun sequence.